UACGUAGGGUGCGAGCGUUGUCCGGAAUUAUUGGGCGUAAAGAGCUUGUAGGCGGUUUGUCGCGUCUGCUGUGAAAAUCCGGGGCUCAACCCCGGACUUGCAGUGGGUACGGGCAGACUAGAGUGCGGUAGGGGAGACUGGAAUUCCUGGUGUAGCGGUGAAAUGCGCAGAUAUCAGGAGGAACACCGGUGGCGAAGGCGGGUCUCUGGGCCGUAACUGACGCUGGAGGAGCGAAAGCCGUGGGGAGCGAACAGG
rnacentral:rRNA from 1 species